rnacentral:lncRNA from 1 species
AUCUUUCCUCUCCGUAAAGGUUCUAAAAUCAACUACUGAAGAAGGUUCUACAAAGGAAUGCAUUGUUUAAAUAGCAGAGCUGGAGAGACGAACUUCACAAGAGAACCUUUUACAGCCCACACUGUGUGGAGCAAGCGCCAGCAAAGCAACCGUGUUCUCCAGAGGACCAGCUCCCCAGCACUACUGCCUCUCCUCAUCCCUGCAAGCAUGUACUCGGGAGAAGGCAGGGAAGUCGGAGGGCACUGCCCACUGUGCCCAGGGGUCAAGGGCAGCAGUUCAUAUUCAGGUCACGGGCAGAGAGACCUCAGCCUACACAUGGCACCGCCCUGUUCUUCACUCAGACUGCCCCAGGUGACCUUCUACAGAGGGGCACCAUGGCAGCCAUUUCAAAAUGUCCCCAAAGGAGAUCACUCCCAAACACAGACCAGCUGGUGGGCAUGGGGAGGGGGCCAGGGCUUCAGGAGGACACAUGGAAAGACGCCCUGAAGAGGUUGAGAUUAAAUCACACCAGAAAAGGAAACACAAUGGCUCAACAUUCUCAGCUGUAGCCCCAGUGAAACCAGCAGGGCCUGUCCUCACCUGGUACGGGGAGCAUCACCCGAGGACCUGGGAGAGGACGGACAGAGGGUGCGUGGGGACAUGCAAAACCCAAAGCCAGCAGAGCUUAAAUGGAAAAUAUGCCUGCCUGAGCCCAGAUGCUGCCCCACCUACCACUGCAGCCAGUGCUCGGCCAUGGGCCACGCAGGCUCCAGCCUCAAGUCUACACCCCAGGCGGGUCCCACCACAUACCGAGUGCCAUGGUUCUUCUCAAAGUACGCGGCGCGCAGCCACACACUCUUCUUGCUGGGGAACACCUGCAGGGCGUAGGCGUAGAUGGCUCGUGCACACUCCA